CAAUGACCCCCUGUAUUUCCUUCUCCCGACACUACCCCCUCAUCCCAAAAAAUCACUUAUUUGUUCAUUAUCCAUGAAUGUUGACUGUGAUAAGGGAAUCCUAACCAUGAGUGAAUCUCUCUGUCUGGUUCUCUCUCCCUCUCUCGCCCUUUCAUUCCCUCUCUCCUCUUCUCUUUGCGCCCUUUGUUUUAUCUCAGGUGAAUUGUAAUCAUGUGAUCAAACGAACACCCCCCUUCCAUUAUCCCCUUAAAAUGAAAAAAAUGAGGAACAAAAAACAGUUCUGUGUAUAUGAAAAAGAAAAAGAGAAAAAGACAUGUCUCCGUUUAGUGCGUCUCUUUGUCUGGGUCUCAGCAAACGCUCACAUAUAGGGGAAAAUGCUCCAAGACCUCUACUUUGCUUAUGGAUCUCUGUCGCACCGUCCAGCUCUUGAGAGGGGGACAUGUAAAAUGCAACUCCGGUGGACUGGCUGGUCCUUCAGGAUUUGUGGCCUGGCCGCAACAUUGAAUUCACUCCACGGCCGCUGUCCCGUUCCACAUCUCUCCCUCGCUCUUUCUUUUCAGCCUCACUCCGCCUCUCUGUCAGUAUGCUCCCCCUCCCCUCCUCUAAUGCAAAAGCAUGAGCACUGCUGCAGCUGUGGGAGAAAGGAGGAGAUGGAAGAGAACUGGGGGAGACGCAUGAGGAGUAAGUGAGAAAACAUUCAAUGGAGCCUUGUGUCCCUCCCAACCAUUCCCCCUGUCUCCUGGAGCAAAACCAAUCACCUAUUCUUUACCUCCUGUCACCACUAUCUCCAUCUCUCUGCGUCACCUUCAAAGUGCCACAUAACAUAGUGUGUGUGUAUUAUGUGAUAACAUUUGGAAAGUUUUAUCUGUCCCUGAGUGAGGGGCAUAAGACACAAACAUGCUAAUUGAGUGGAAUGAGAGGCGAGGGACGAGGAGAUUCAGGCAUUUGCAGAAAAUGAUGCACAAGAAUUUGGAAGAGAACAAAAGUGUCCUUUGUCGCCAUGUUGCUGUCUGGGUGCUGGCUGGAACGUGGUCAGAGUCAUUUGCAUCACUGAAAAUAUUCAGUUGUGUAUGGUCUUGGCUUCCCUCUCAGGCGUGGCCAUUUGGUCCCUAUACAAGAUCAAUAUUCCUACCACAUGUCUUCCAGCCAACUAGGAAUGUAUAUCAGGGGAAAUGUUUGUAGUUUUGAUUAAUUGUUGCGUGUGCCCGCAAAUCACAAACCAUACACAACAUAUUUACACGUGUAAAAGCCUGCUAUGUGUUUCACAAGCUGGUGUACAGACAAGUGAUUAUCAAUCUGCAAUUGCUCAUAUAUGAGCUGUCAUAUUGUGGCAGAAGUUAUUGCUGUUAAUGAGCAAUCACUUUUGUAGGUAAUGAGGCCUCUAUUUAAUCAAUAGCAGAUGGUGGAUUUGUGGAUUGUGCUUUUAAAGGUAUGUUUGAUUUGCUGUAUGUCCUGGAUUGUGUUUUUAAAGGUAUGUUUGAUUUGCUGUAUGUCCUGGAUUGUGUUUUUAAAGGUAUGUUUGAUUUGCUGUAUGUCCUGGAUUGUGUUUUUAAAGGUAUGUUUGAUUUGCUGUAUGUCCUGGAUUGUGUUUUUAAAGGUAUGUUUGAUUUGCUGUAUGUCCUGGGUGGAGGAAGUUGACACUUGAUUUUAAGGCUAAUGUUGAACUAAUGACAAUACAACUCUGAUCAUAUUCUCAUGCUGUGAGGCAGCGGUUAGUAAGGCUGCUCAGCCCCAUGAUCCCCAUUCUCAAAAGUCAAAGUCAAAAGUCAAUCAAAAGUCAUCAAGCACGACGACAGCUUUGAAGUGACUGUAACUCCUGUGAGACAAAGAGGGGCGAGAGACAGAGGUGAACAGAUUGAUCUGGAGGGGACGCUUAAUAACAGUGUAAACUGUGUGAGAAGGAGUCUGUGUUUGACUCAUCCUCUGCCUAGACUACAAGCUUCACAUCCAUUUGGGUAAUUACCCGCCCACUGUGAUCCUCGCGACCUUGCAUAAUUAACACGCCUCGAGCAGGGAAUGAAACGUUGAUUGCCGUGGCCCAUGCCCAAGUAGCAGGGGUUGCAUCUGUCUCUGCCUUGAACGACUACUGUUCUGACAUUGUGGGGAUGAAACCACCUCUUUCAAGGAAGCCUCUAACACGAUAAUUAAGAGGAAGGCUCUGACAAUAGGACAUUCAAGCAGUCGUUUAUUCCCAAUUAGUUGAAGUUCAUGCAGUUAAUAGUCGAUCAAUCAUGGCAGGAGAAAAGCAACAUCUUUUAUGGCCUAAGAUGUGCUCAUGUUCAUAGUGGUGUGUAUUCAUGGUUACCAAGGGAAGCCAGGCCUCCCCAAAAUGUACUAAUAAAAAAAUAAAAAAAGUUAAAAUAAUUUAUCUUUCAUCUCUGUGUUUCAUAAUUUUCCUUUAAUUCGCAAGAGGCUGAAUGUAUCUCACUGGAGAGAAGGCAUUCGAGAGAGCAAAACAGCGCCCCUCUGUCUCUGUAUGUG
ensembl:lncRNA